GGGUCAGUAGGUUGGUCGUGCCACCGGUACGUACUGGUCUCACUGAUUCCUCCUUCCUGAAGAGCCGUAAUACCAUUAAUUUGGUGUUGCGGGGAAACAGGACUGUUACUUUGAAAAAAUUAGAGUGUUUAAAGCAAGCUAACGCUUGAAUACAUUAGCAUGGAAUAAUGAAAUAGGACGAUCGAUCCUAUUUUGUUGGUUUCUAGGAUUGACGUA
rnacentral:rRNA from 1 species